GGGCACGCGAGGGAGCACUCUCCCCUGUGUGCUCCCUCUUCAGAUCCCUCGCGCAUCACGUUCUGAUACCGGAGCCGGAAGAUGAUGUCAUCUUCCGGCUCCGGGAUCAGUGUGGUGCGUGAGGGAGCUGAAGAGGGAGCACACAGGGGAGAGUGCUCCCUUGCGUGC